CCUGGAUUAUUACGGCCUCCAACUGCACAACCUCACGUCGGCCUCUAUCCUGCACAUCACGGGUUUUCUUGCCCUUUGCGAGCUCACUUUGAUUUGUGGAGGAAGCUAUUCUGCCUCGUCCCUCACAACCAAGAGGGGUCGAUAUUCGAGGUGGGCGGCAUCGAAGUAUGGUGCAUAGUCGGGACCGGAUACCUGUCUGGUACACCGAAGAGGGCGCCCGAAGAAUGGCCCUCAGAAUGGUUCUAUAUUGAGGACGUCGCUCUCCCCAACCCAGUUAUGGGUCUUCCUGAAUUUUCAAAUGCUUCAUUGAAGAAACACCAUAGCUGGCGCUCUUGG
rnacentral:rRNA from 1 species